ACAAUCUUCCUCCCCACAAUUCCCCACCCUCACCCACCAGAUCGAUUCCACCGCGGUACCGUAGCGGCGGCGCGAUCCGUACUCCAGGUCUUCCUGCCGACGAGAAAGCAGCGGGGAUCUUCCUCCGGAGAGCGGUCAGUGGAACCCGACUCAAGGACGGUGACGAGGUCCCGGUCGAGGGCGGCUGGAUCUGUCACCUCGCCCCAGCCAGAGAUGGCGCCGACCGCCACGCAGGAGGAGGCGUCGGGGUCCCCAUCGACGGCCAGCAAGAGGCUACGUCUCUCCUCUGCACCACGCCGUGGGCAUCGUGGCUUCACUGGCGAGGUCACAGCUGAUGGCGGCGCACAGGUGGUGACUUCAGCUUUAACUGUCGGAGUGGAAGAGGUGGAGGUCGUGCCGAGGUCAGUUGCUCCCGUGGCAAGUGACUCCAUGGAGGCUACUGCCUUUGUACCCAACUCUCCCAUCCGUAUGCCGAUUAUGGUGGAGUAUGAUUCGAAAGGACGGCAACUCUCCGAACCAUCGAGUUGGCCGGCCCCAGAGUUAUCCAAAGCCUACCUAAAGGCGAACCAACAAUACCUCGAGAAGUUAGGUCAAAUCUUGAAGCUUCCGACAUUGGAUGAUGAUACCUGUUUUGAGUCAAUACCUAUUCAAGAAAGUGCAGCAGACACAAUCCUGAAAGCUUCAAAGUUUAUUUUGGGGCUCUCUGCAUAUAUUGAUGGUGUGUUACUAAGACAAAGCUCAGGAAUUUUGAUGGAGUGGAAUGAGGACAAAGGAACCAUUUUAACAACCGCGGAACUCUUUAGCUCAAAGUCUCCAAAUGUGGAUGUGUGGUUAGGUGGACAAGAAUAUGCUCGAGAUGCUGAGGUCCUUGUUCAGCUAUUGCAUAUCGAUGAUAUUGAAGUGCCGGGUGAAAUGAUUUAUUUAGAUGAGCAAUAUGAAUUUGCUCUGAUCAGUGUACCUAUGGAUCCACCAGAAACGUUACCCCAUUUUUGCAAUGAACUGAUGUUUUCUGAGGACGUUUUCGUACUCGGAAGAGACAAGUGGGUUUUGCAGAUAGGGAAUGGCAAAGUGAUGAACAAAGGUGCAGGCUCGUAUAUACGUCACCAUUACAUGUUCUUUGAUGCUGAUAUCUCACCGUGUGGUUUUGGAGGGGCAGUCAUCAACUUGGAAGGAGAUGUUAUUGGACUGAUAACCGGUUCCAUGUCAUUUAUACCUUCUUCAACCAUUCUCAAAUGCUUGCAUCUUUGGAGGACAUUCAAUUGUAUACCUCGUAUCCAUCUUGGGAUGAAGUUGCUUGGCAUCAAAUGUCUGAACCUUAUGAGUAAAGAGAAGAUAUCUCGAAAGUAUCAUAUUGAUGCUGGUCUUAUCGUCGUAGAGGUGUCAGGAGGAUCGAAUGCCGAGAGUCAUGGUAUUAGGAUUGGUGAUAUUAUUCAAGCUGUGAACAGAGAACGCAUUGCUACUGCAAUUGAGUUGGAGAAUAUGUUGCUGGAUACAUGCAAGGGCUAUUUGGAAAAGGGAGUUGGCUGUGGUUCCUACAAGGAUGUAGUGUUAGUACUUGACGUGUUCAACACCACCAAACGCCUCCCUGGCAGAAUACAGUUAGCUGCAAAACUCUCUCAUGGUGUUGAAAUCAUUGAAAGAGGCAAAUACGAAGUUUCUAUGAAAAAAGGCUCUACCUCGAUUUGACAAAGCUGGUCCAGGCGAUGAUGAACUUGGUGAAAAAUGAAGAAGGCUGCUUAGUAGUAUCCUUGAAGACCUGCACUUGUCCAUCUAUGGGUGUCGCUAUUUUGUUUGAUAGUAGUCUCCUUGAAGACUUGCACUUCUCCAUCUAUGGGUGUAGUACAUACAAUGGAUGAAUGGCACUUUCUUCCCUCCGAAAAGAUGUUAGGGCUCUCUUAAUCGAAGAUUUGUCAUCAAAUCCUAUAAGCUACGGUUGGACUCUCUGGGCUAGAGAUGGCGUUCUCUCUUAGGGAAUGAGGAUCGAGAACGACUUGACGCUCAGAUGGAGGCGAUUCAAAAGUGGGUGAAAGCUUUUGCUGAUAACAAGAGUAACGAGGCUGAAGAUGGGUGGACUUUGGACUAGGGCCCUUAGGGCAUCUCCAAGAGUUUGCCAUAAUUUACUUGGUAUAUCUUGUGUUUUGCCAACUUCUAAAAAGAUAUGCCAAGUAAAAAAAGAGUUUAUCUCCAACAGUUUGGCAUAAUUCACUUGCAAAAUCCAAAUCUAACUUACAUCAGGAACCCUGAGAGAAACAAAAUUAUAUUUGUGCCCUUUCCACCUCUUGAAACUUAAAUCAGGAACUCUUCUCUGUUAUUUAUUUCUUUUUUCAUUCUCCCACCUGACUAGAAACCACGAUGCCAACCGCGUGCCGCGCGCGUAUAUUUACGUGUUGGAGGCUGGUUUUUUCCAAGUUGCUAAAAAUUGUAAAGUCUUUUGCCAAACUGUUGUUGGAGUAUUUUUAACGUUUUUGCCAAAAAUCAAAGAUGACAACUCGAUUUGCCAAACUGCUGGAGAUGCUCUUAGCACCCCUUGGCGGUUGGCUCUUCUCUAGUAGGGUCUUUUUCUUUCUAGUCUGAGGGAGUUUUUCAUCAUUUUUCCUGUGGCGUUUUGCCUGUUGGACUCCUCUUGUUCGCUGGUUUCCCCAGCUGGGUUGACGUUGGUCUGUACUAAACCUAUUUUGCUUUAACAUUAAUUUUAAAAACAAUUUGAAACCUUUU